UGGGACCUUCGGGGCCCUUCACUGACAGCCGGGCGCCAGGCGCGCCCGCAAAGCAAACGGAAGACAGGAAA
ncrna:Wenxinia marina DSM 24838 L2-Alphaproteobacteria ribosomal protein leader